CAACGGAUCGACUACUGGGACUGCACUGUUUA
rnacentral:scRNA from 1 species